AGAACACAUCGACCUGCCUACUUUCGCGACAAUUUGGACACGUAGCAAGAGACGCUUUGCACACGAUCAGGUCAGGAAUUGCUACCCAUCAUUCAACGAGCAGUUCGACGUGUUGCACUCUGAGGCGGUUGUCUGGGAGCCGUACACACAGGACGCCAUCGAGGAUAGAUACCCUGGCGGAAUGUCCACAGUUUGCACAAGAGAUUACGCUUACUGGAUGAAAAAAUCAAAGAUCAUCUUCGACGUCUGUGUGGAGGAGAUGGCCCAGCAGAGGGUCAUGAGGCAGUUUGGGGCACGCCAGUUGGUCGUUUCUCCACCGACGGAGGAUCCACUUCCACAGAUCGUCCACAGGUUUACCAGGAAGGGAAGUACCAGGACCCAGACUUAGUGGCUGCAGAGGGUUCAAUCGUACAUCACAGAGUGGGAGACUGCGACGACACGGGUUUGGCCAUUGGAGGCCUUUGAUAUCGAUCUAUUCAACGGAUAUUUGCAGAGGUACAUGACAGCUACCCGAUUGAGCAUCAUUCAGCACUCUCACCCCCAGGAGAUAGCCGAGCCGAGUUUGCAAGAUAUGUACCCUAACCAGUCUACUUCAGGCUCUAGACAGC